GGUGUGCGUGGCCGGGACCAGGCCCGCGGUCUCCCGGGCCGCGCAGACCGGAUCGUCGGUCGGCGCGCAGCUC
rnacentral:tRNA from 1 species